rnacentral:lncRNA from 1 species
UUUUAUAUUUUUAAACUAAAACCACAUAAUCUGAUUUGGUGGUUUCACUUUCUUUUGCAGCCAUUUGAGUUUGGGGAACGAUGAACCAUGAAGGUUUGUAUCCUAGCUCCUUUAUACAUAACUUCAUUUUCUAAUCCUGGACACAGAGAGAUUAUGAAGAAUUCAAGGUUAACAUCAAUGCUUAGUUGCGACUGCACAGAAAGUGUCUGAAGAAGUCUUGACUAGGCA